ensembl:rRNA 5S_rRNA 5S ribosomal RNA
AGAAUCUUUCACAUACCACCCUGAACACACCCAAUCUCUUCUGAUCUCAGAAGCUAAGCAGGGUCUGACCUGGUUAGUACUUGGAUGAGAAAUGUUGGGAGGCUUACAAAAUGGUGUAGGUUAUC